UACGGAGGGUCCAAGCGUUAUCCGGAUUUAUUGGGUUUAAAGGGUGCGUAGGCGGUUUAUUAAGUCAGUGGUUAAAGCCCGGAGCUCAACUUCGGAACUGCCAUUGAUACUGAUAGACUUGAGUACAGAUGAAGUGGGCGGAAUGUGACAAGUAGCGGUGAAAUGCUUAGAUAUGUCACAGAACACCGAUUGCGAAGGCAGCUCACUAAAGUGUAACUGACGCUGAGGCACGAAAGCGUGGGGAUCAAACAGG
rnacentral:rRNA from 1 species